rnacentral:rRNA from 1 species
AGUGAACGCUGGCGGCAGGCCUAAUACAUGCAAGUCGAACGGAAACACAGUGAGCGUUUGCCCUUACCGGUGGCGAGUGGCGGGUGGGUGACACAUAGAUAGGCUUCUUCUUUUUCGUGGGGGAUAACGUAGGGCCACAUAUGCUACUACAGAAUAUAUUGUACCGCUGGGAGCAGUAGAUAUUCGCACUUUUCGCGACUCUUUGAGCUGAUGUCGGAUUAGCUAGUUGGCGUGGUAAAGGCACACCAAGGCAACGAUCCGUAGCUGGUCUGAGAGGAUGAUCAGCCACACUGGAACUGAGACACGGUCCAGACUCCUACGGGAGGCAGCAGUAGGGAAUAUUCGGCAAUGGGCGCAAGCCUGAUCCAGCCAUGCCGCGUGAGUGAUGAAGGUCUUCGGGUUGUAAAGCCCUGUUAUUGGGGAAGAAAAGCAGCAGGUUAAUACCCCGCUGUUCUGACGGUACCCAAAGAAUAAGCACCGGCUAACUACGUG